rnacentral:rRNA from 1 species
GACGAACGCUGGCGGCGUGCCUAAUACAUGCAAGUAGGACGCAGUUGCGAACGGGUGAGUAACGCGUAGGUAACUACCUAUUAGAGGGGGAUAACUAUUGGAAACGAUAGCUAAUACCGCAUACUAGUAGAUGGACCUGCGUUGUAUUAGCUAGUAGGUAGGGUAAUGGGCUACCUAGGCAACGAAACAUAGCCGACCCUGGGAGGUGGUCGGCCACACUGGGACCGGGACACGGCCCAGACCCCUACGGGAGGGAGUAGGAGGGGAUCUUCGGCAAUGGGGGGAACCCUUACCGAGCAACGCCGCGGGAGUGAAGAAGGUUUUCGGAUCGUAAAGCUCUGUUGUUAAGGAAGCGGUACUUAACCAGAAAGCGACGGCUAACUACGUGCCAGCAGCCGCGGUAAUUC